UCGUAACAAUAUAUUACAUCAGAAUGAGUUUUUGAUACCUAUUACAACACUCUAUGUAAAGAACUACCAAAUAAUAAGUUUGUUAAAAUCAUUCAUAGAGGACCCACAGCAUAGUCAGUGGGAUUAAUUGCAAUAUUGACUGGUAGGGGAAGGAGGGUAAGACGGUCCCCUUGAGUAGAACGGUUAUCUCUGUAUAUCAUCAGUUAUGCUAUCUAGAGUGGAUUACAUGCAACUAUUGUUCAAGUGACCGGUGCAUAAACACAUUAAUGGACGAGCGCGAAUGAGAGCGAUCAAAACGCGCGGGACUACAGAUUUUGUCUUUUUGAACAAAUGACAUCGAAGUUUCUACUCAGACUUAAACCAAAGCCUGACUAUGGACAACCUGAGCUGUGUCAUUCGCAAGGAUUGAGCCCCGAAUUUCAGCAUCAUAAACCUUGAAGCUUAAAGCUGAGACACUGGAGGGGGGAACUAUUUUACUUGCCUAUAUACACAAAAUGUCGGUUUUUACCCUUUGUUUUGUUUUUUAAUCGAUAUAUCAAGAAUCCGUGUCAACUGCUAAAACGUAUAUUAAUUGUAUUUGGCUUAUAAUGACUGAAAUUCAUCAUAACAUGCUGCAUGUGGUUGUGUUAAGUUUGAGUCACUGUAUUCAUUACACUUGACUGAAACCGAAAUAAAUUAGUCCGUCUCAUGGAA